AGCGUUUGACAUGGGACGUAUGGUUACCAGAGAUGGUUUCCUUCACUUCGGGUGGCGUCCACACAGGUGCUGCAUGGCUGUCGUCAGCUCGUGUCGUGAGAUGUUGGGUUAAGUCCCGCAACGAGCGCAACCCUCACCUUCAGUUGCCAUCAUUUAGUUGGGCACUCUGAAGGAACUGCCGGUGACAAGCCGGAGGAAGGUGGGGAUGACGUCAAGUCCUCAUGGCCCUUACGCGCUGGGCUACACACGUGCUACAAUGGUGGUGACAAUGGGUCGCAAGCGUGCGAACGCAAGCUAAUCUCCAAAAGCCAUCUCAGUUCGGAUUGCACUCUGCAACUCGAGUGCAUGAAGUCGGAAUCGCUAGUAAUCGUGGAUCAGCAUGCCACGGUGAAUACGUUCCC
rnacentral:rRNA from 1 species